AAGAAAAGGAUGAAAGGCUAUAAAAGGCCAUCAGCCAUAGUGUUUCAUGUCAGCCACCAUUUUUACACCAUUUCAACUUUUAUUUUUCUUUCAAUUUAGUCAUUUUCAUCAAAUACAAAUCAAUUAAGUUAGUUUCUUUCAAAUUUCUUCAAGAUUAGUUUGUAAAAUUAGUAGAGAAGUGUAGUAACUACCCAACUGUUAAAAGAAAUGCAUCCAUACUUAUCUCGGAGGAGAGAGAAAAUAACAAUUAGUGUUGAAUACAAGUGACUAAGAAAAAGUGAAGGGAAGUGAGAAACAAGUAGGGAGUUAAAGCAAAGGAGGAGCUAAAGGAGUAAGAAGAGGAAGAAAGCUUGAUUCCAUAUUUUGAGUUGUUAAAAGUAGAGGAAAAAUGGAUUUUUGAAGAUUGAAGGCACCUCAUCUCAUCAUAUUAGUGGAUCCGAGGAAAGGGUAAAGUAUUAAUUUCUGUCAUUUUAGUAAAUGGCAUGUACCUAGGUGUGUGUAUUAAGGUUGAAUGUGAUGGCUUAAAUGCGAAACUCGAUGUUUGCUUAAUUCAUAUGAAAUAGUUUAAAAUGUUAAUUAAGUGAUAUA